GCAGUAGCCGCGGGAAUACAGAGGGUGCGAGCGUUAAUCGGAUUUACUGGGCGUAAAGCGUGCGUAGGCGGCUUCUUAAGUCGGAUGUGAAAUCCCUGAGCUUAACUUAGGAAUUGCAUUCGAUACUGGUUAGCUAGAGUGUGGGAGAGGAUGGUAGAAUUCCAGGUGUAGCGGUGAAAUGCGUAGAGAUCUGGAGGAAUACCGAUGGCGAAGGCAGCCAUCUGGCCUAAUACUGACGCUGAGGUACGAAAGCAUGGGGAGCAAACAGGAUUAGAUACCCGUGUAGUCCCUGUCUCUUAUAC
rnacentral:rRNA from 1 species